AGAAAUAAUGGAGCAGAGAGUUUGCCUGGAGUUUGCUCAGAGUUGGAGUAAUAGAUUUAACAAUUACUAGAUACUAAAAGCAUAGGGACCUUGUUAU